rnacentral:rRNA from 1 species
CAGGAGACUGACGUUAUGGAGGUGAAGCCUGCUCUAUGGUUGUAUCUGAAAAAAUAACAAAGAAGUUGUUUAUAAAGACAAUUAAAUGGCUGCGGUAUACCUAACUGUAAAAAUGUAGCGCAAUUAAUAGUCAAUUAAUUGUUGACAAGUAUGAAUGGCGUCACGAGUGCUUAACUGUCUUAAGAAAAAACCCAAUGAAAUUGAAUUCGUAGUUAAGAUGCUACGUAAUUUUGUAAGACGAAAAGACCCUAUUAAGCUUUACUGGAAACUUAUGCUGUCUUAAUAAAUAGUUGGUAUACAAGGUAAGUAAAGAAUAUAACUAUAAUAUUAAAUAAAUAUUUAAAUUAUAAAAUAUAUAAUAUUAAACCGAUUAUAUAUAUGAAAGACUAUGUCACCAAAAUAGAAUGAAUUAGUAUGUUAGACAGUUUGGUUGGGGCGACUCCCUAAAAAAGGAUAACUAAGGGGCACUAAGGUAAUGAAGAAAGAGCUUGACUGUAAGAGGGCACUCAAACAGACACGAAAGUGGGUAAAGCGAACCGUUAAUUAAAGUGGGAUUGUUAACGAUAAACGAAUAAAAGUUACUAUAGGGAUAACAGCGUAAUAUUGUUAGAGAGAUGACAUCGACGACAAUGUUUGCGACCUCGAUGUUGAAUUGCGGCAUCCUAGGGGCGUAGAAGCUCUAGAGGGUUAGUCUGUUCGAC